UCCCCCGUGAGGGGGCAGUCUCGCCUGACAUAUAAAACAGGCAACGAGGGUUGCGUUCGUUACCCCACUGAAGGGAACAACUCAAGCCACGAACUGACGACGACCAUGCAUCACCUGCCCAACUGUCUUGCGAAAGCCAAAGUUUCCUAAGGCGGUCAGUUGGGUUUCAAACCCUGGUGAGGUUCUUCGUUUGUCAUCGAAUUGAGCCGCAUGAUCCACCGCUUGUGCAAGUCCCCGUCUAUUCCUUUGAGUUUCAGCCUUGCGGCCGUACUCCCCAGGCGGGGCACUUAGAGUGUUAACUACGGCACCGGGAGGGUCGCUCCCCCCGACGCCUAGUGCCCAUCGUUUACGGCGUGGACUAC
rnacentral:misc_RNA from 1 species